rnacentral:misc_RNA from 1 species
AACGCAUAUUGCGCUCGAGGCUUCGGCCGAGAGCAUGUCUGCCUCAGCGUCGGGUUAAUAUCAUCAACACUCAUCCCUUGGGAUAAUAGUGCUUUGAUGGACCUGGCUGUUCCAGAGAAAGGGGGUUUUGAUAAUCUAAUUAUCAUAACCAAUAGUCCUGCUGGAUCAGCUGAAGUACAGAGGCUAGCCAAGGACCCUUUAACAAGGGCCGCAACUGGGUAGGCAGCUUUCCGGCUUGCUAUAAUGCUUAGUUGUUGGUCUGGGACUUUGCGCUCACAGCCCUAAACCAGGAAAUAACCCACUCAUCUAUUAUCUCGACCUGAGCUCAGGCAAGAACACCCGCUGAACUUAA